rnacentral:rRNA from 1 species
GAUGAACGCUAGCGGCAGGCCUAAUACAUGCAAGUCGAACGAGAUUACGAGGCUUGCUUCUUAUGAAAGUGGCGCACGGGUGCGUAACGCGUAUGCAACCUACCUUAAUCAGGGGGAUAGCCCGAAGAAAUUCGGAUUAAGACCGCAUAAAAACACAGGAUAGCAUUAUCCAAUGUUCAAAUAUUUAUAGGAUUAAGAUGGGCAUGCGUGUCAUUAGCUAGUUGGCGGGGUAACGGCCCACCAAGGCGACGAUGACUAGGGGAUCUGAGAGGAUGACCCCCCACACUGGUACUGAGACACGGACCAGACUCCUACGGGAGGCAGCAGUAAGGAAUAUUGGUCAAUGGAGGGAACUCUGACCCAGCCAUGCCGCGUGCAGGAAGACAGCCCUCUGGGUCGUAAACUGCUUUUAUUCGGGAAUAAACCUUUCUACGUGUAGGAAGCUGAAUGUACCGAAGGAAUAAGGAUCGGCUACCUCCGU